rnacentral:rRNA from 1 species
ACACGACUACAUUAGAUACCCCCGUAGUCCAGGGUGUAAACGCUGCGGGCUUGGUGUUGGGGGUCCUUAGUGGGCGCCCAGUGCCGGAGAGAAGUUGUUAAGCCUGCUGCUUGGGGAGUAUGUCCGCAAGGAUGAAACUUAAAGGAAUUGGCGGGGGAGCACCGCAACGGGAGGAGCGUGCGGUUCAAUUGGAUUCAACACCGUAAACUCACCAGGGAAGACUGUUACAUGAAGGCCGAGAUGAAGACUCUGCUAGAUUUUCAG